CUCCGGUCUAACUUGUGGAGUUGGACCUCUGGAAAGAGGAAGCUGAGGAGGAGAGACGACAGCUACAUUUCCGCUGGGCCUCCAUGCUGUGGGUAGCCCGUGGCUGACAAGCGAGACUGAGGCAAGGAACCGAAGGUUUGCACAAGCUUUGGGCUUUCACUUCCUCUUCUCUGAGGAUAGCCAGGAGCACCUUACCUCUAAGUCUGCUGUGCGAACAACAGGAGGAAGCCAACGGGUUUGGCUACCAGAAAUGCCCUCGUAGCCAGACCCCACGGGAUGGAGGGCUUCAUGGACUCAGGGACACAGACGGAUGCUGUGGUGGUGCUGUCCUUGGCUCAGGCUGCUGUGCUGGGCCUGGUCUCAGAAAAUGAGCUCUUUGGAGCCACCAUAAGUGCAGAGGCCUUUUACCCAGACCUGGGGCCAG
rnacentral:lncRNA from 1 species